rnacentral:lncRNA from 1 species
CAUAAAUCGUACUACUUACCUUCUUAAUAACUUCCUCUCCACACAAGGAUUAAAAAAGUGUUGUGUCUUUACCAAAUGAAUUAAUAACCUUCUUAUACUUUCUCUUCACUAAUUAAUACUGUUCUGAGGACAACAUUAACUCUAAUAUAUUAAUGAAAACUGCAAGCUUUUUGGGCACAGAAAGAGAGAAUUUGAACAGCUUUUUUAUAAAGGAUAUGUACAUUUCAGAAAGAUCCUAUAGGUCUAAAAGCAGCUGCUGGAGUCUUUUCUCAGGGCAGAAAGUACCAAAAGAAUCAGUGGUCACUGGUGAUUCCUUUGGGGCAGCUAGAAGAUAAAAACAACUGUCAUAGAUGUCUUACUGAGCAGAAUUCUGUGGAAUAAAAUGAGAUUUACCCUGUGGCUGUGAUUCA